rnacentral:rRNA from 1 species
AACGAACGCUGGCGGCGUGCCUAAGACAUGCAAGUCGUACGAGAACGCCACCUUCGGGUGGUUAUUAGAGUGGCAAACGGGUGAGUAACGCGUGGGUAACCUACCUCGAGGUCUGGGAUAACUCCGGGAAACUGGGGCUAAUACCGGAUAAGACCACGAGUUCUUCGGAACAUGUGAGAAAAGAUGGCCUCUUCUUGAAAGCUAUCGCCAUGAGAUGAGCCCGCGUCCCAUUAGCUUGUUGGUGAGGUAACGGCUCACCAAGGCUCCGAUGGGUAGCUGGUCUGAGAGGACGAUCAGCCACACUGGAACUGAGACACGGUCCAG